GCUAUUCCAGGUAUCUACUACCCUUUCUAUAUCACUGUUACUGCUCCCACUGGAAGGCUAUUCCCGGUAUCUACUACCCUUUCUAUAUCACUGUUACUGCUCCCACUGGAAGGCUAUUCCAUGUAUUUACUACCCUUUCUAUAUCACUGUUACCGCUCCCACUGGAAGGCUAUUCCAGGUAUCUACUACCCUUUCUAUAUCACUGUUACUGCUCCCACUGGAAGGCUUUUCCAGGUAUCUACUACCUUUUCUAUAUCACUGUUACUGCUCCCACUGGAAGGCUAUUCCAGGUAUCUACUACCCUUUCUGUAUCACUGUUACUGCUCCCACUGGAGGGCUAUUCCAGGUAUCUACUACCCUUUCUAUAUCACUGUUAC